AUGGCGGCAGAGCUCCCGACUCCAAACGAGCUAAAUCGCCGCAACCAGAACCCGACCACGACCCAAACACUCCCCGGAGUGCCCCACGGCUUACUCAAUCCACAUGGGCAUAAAAACAAAGAAGCAAAAGCCCGACAAGCCCCGUCUGGGCAUGAAUAUCGGGGACAUGUGGAAGCAGGCCCAUGAGACAGCCGGCGCAACAAUGGCGUCCCUGCACGGAGGCUGCUCCGAUUUCUCGGACGGCACGUCUGAUGAAGAAGAAGGGAGCUGCAUGCCGAUUAAAGCUCCACUACUGCCAGACAGGCCUCGAGUACAUUAG